rnacentral:rRNA from 1 species
CCUACGGGAGGCAGCAGUGGGGAAUAUUGCGCAAUGGGCGAAAGCCUGACGCAGCGACGCCGCGUGAGGGAUGAAGGUCUUCGGAUCGUAAACCUCUGUCAGCAGGGAAGAACGGUCACUGUGCUAAUCAGCAGUGCAUUGACGGUACCUGCCAAGGAAGCACCGGCUAACUCCGUGCCAGCAGCCUCGGUAAUACGGGGGGUGGGAGCGUUAGUCGGAAUUACUGGGCGUAAAGCGCUCGUAGGCGGUAUGGCAAGUCACGGGUGAAAGCCCCGCGCUCAACGGGGGAACUGCUUUUGAAACUGGCAAACUGGAGUGUGUGAGAGGAUAGUGGAAUUCCAGGUGUAGGAGUGAAAGCCGUAGAUAUCUGGAGGAACAUCAGUGGCGAAGGCGACUAUCUGGAACAUAACUGACGCUGAGGAGCGAAAGCGUGGGUAGCAAACAGGAUUAGAUACCCUAGUAGUC